rnacentral:tRNA from 1 species
GCGGGCGUGGCGGAAUUGGUAGACGCACCGGAUUUAGGUUCCGGCGGCUUGCGGCCGUGGGGGUUCGAAUCCCUCCGCCCGCACCA